rnacentral:rRNA from 1 species
GACGAACCGUGCGAACGUUAUUCGGAAUCACUGGGCUUAAAGCGCGCGUAGGCGGCGUUGUUAGUUAGGGGUGAAAUUCCAUCGGCUCAACCGUGGGACUGCCUCUAAUACUGCAAUGCUUGAGGGAGGUAGGGGCAGGUGGAACUUCCGGUGGAGCGGUGAAAUGUGUUGAGAUCGGAAGGAACGCCAGUGGCGAAAGCGACCUGCUGGGACUCUGCUGACGCUGAGGCGCGAAAGCUAGGGUAGCGAACGGG